GACGAACGCUGGCGGCGUGCUUAACACAUGCAAGUCGAGCGGUAAGGCCCUUUCGGGGGUACACGAGCGGCGAACGGGUGAGUAACACGUGGGUGACCUGCCCUUAGCUCUGGGAUAAGCCUGGGAAACCGGGUCUAAUACCGGAUAUGACUCCAUGACGCAUGUUGUGGGGUGGAAAGCCUUGUGCGGCUAGGGAUGGGCCCGCGGCCUAUCAGCUUGUUGGUGGGGUGAUGGCCACCAAGGCGACGACGGGUAGCCGGCCUGAGAGGGCGACCGGCCACACUGGGACUGAGACACGGCCCAGACUCCUACGGGAGGCAGCAGUGGGGAAUCUUGCGCAAUGGGCGAAAGCCUGACGCAGCGACGCCGCGUGGGGAUGACGGCCUCGG
rnacentral:rRNA from 1 species